rnacentral:rRNA from 1 species
AUACGUAGGUGGCAAGCGUUGUCCGGAAUUAUUGGGCGUAAGGCGCGCGCAGGUGGUUCCUUAAGUCUGAUGUGAAAGCCCCCGGCUCAACCGGGGAGGGUCAUUGGAAACUGGGGAACUUGAGUGCAGAAGAGGAUAGUGGAAUUCCAAGUGUAGCGGUGAAAUGCGUAGAGAUUUGGAGGAACACCAGUGGCGAAGGCGACUGUCUGGUCUGUAACUGACACUGAGGCGCGAAAGCGUGGGGAGCAAACAGGAUUAGAUACCCUGGUAGUCCACGCCGUAAACGAUGAGUGCUAAGUGUUGGGGGGUUUCCGCCCCUCAGUGCUGCAGCUAACGCAUUAAGCACUCCGCCUGGGGAGUACGGUCGCAAGACUGAAACUCAAAGGAAUUGACGGGG